UUGCUUCCUUUACUCUUCAGCCUGGUAGUCACUCAUCAAGCUGAACUGAACAGAACAAAAUUAAGAGUUAGAAGAGCCCUUGGAGGUCUUCUAUCUAGUCGCACUCCCUGUUCAAGCAGGAGACUGUAUACUAUUUCAGACAAAUGGUUGUCCAAUUUCUUCUUAGAAACCUCCAAUGAUGGAGCACCCACAACUUCUGAAGGGACCUCAACCUACAACAUCGCUGAAGAACCGACAAGAAAGCUUGGACACCUCACAGAGGGAAACAAAUGCUUCCAAAGAAUCAAAGACCUGAAAAUAGUUGAAAUAUAGUUGAAAUCAUUUUCUCAUUUGAUAUGAUAGCACUCUCUGCAUACACAGAAUUAGCAAAAGAAUCCAUGACAGCAAUACUAUAUAGCACACCUGAUCUAACCAUAUAUAUCAAGAUUGAAAUACCCAGAAUCAUGGAUCUCAUCAACCUUUGACCACAUAUUUUCAGCUUGAUGGACAAAUAUACAACAAAUCGAACUGGGACUACAGCUUUCAGGACUCAUAGAGACCAUAAUGCCUAGGAAUCUCUAGCAGUCCCACACAUAGAAUCCAAAGUAUGGAUCCGGUACGUAGUUGAUAUCUUGUCAUACUCAAAGGACCAUCUGGAGAAAACAUACCAUCAAUAACAUACAUCUUCAAAGAAAUAAAAUUCCCAAGAAACAUAGAAAACAAUAUGCUACCCUUCCUAGAAAUCCUCAGAGGCAGUGAUGGCAAAUUAAAGCACAAAUCUAUCAGCCAUACUAACCAAGUGCUCCACUACCAAACUAACAACCUAACUUCCCACGAGAAAAACACUAUUUAAAUGAGCACAAAUGCACUACAGCAACCCUGAAUAUCAGAAAAAAAUAGAUUAUCUACAUCUUCCAUCCAAAUGGAUACCGAUGCAACUUUAUCAAAAUAGGCUGACCAGUCAUGUCAAUGUAGCACAACC